rnacentral:rRNA from 1 species
UACGGGGGGAGCAAGCGUUGUUCGGAUUUACUGGGCGUAAAGGGCGCGUAGGCGGCGCAACAAGUCACUUGUGAAAUCUCCGGGCUUAACCCGGAGCGGCCAAGUGAUACUGUCGUGCUAGAGUGCGGAAGGGGCUACUGGAAUUCUCGGUGUAGCGGUGAAAUGCGUAGAGAUCGGGAAGAACAUCAGUGGCGAAGGCGGCCUGCUGGGCUGUUGCUGACGCUGAGGCGCGACAGCGUGGGGAGCAAACAGG